CAGUAACGGCGAGUGAAGCGGCAACAGCUCAAAUUUGAAAUCUGGCUCCUUCGGGGUCCGAAUUGUAAUUUGUAGAGAGUGCUUCGGGCGAGACCUCGGUCUAAGUCCAUUGGAACAUGGUGUCAUAGAGGGUGAGAAUCCCGUAUGCGACCGUGGCUCGAGCCCAUGUGAAGCCUCUUCGACGAGUCGAGUUGUUUGGGAAUGCAGCUCAAAAUGGGUGGUAAAUUUCAUCUAAAGCUAAAUACUGGCUGGAGACCGAUAGCGCACAAGUAGAGUGAUCGAAAGAUGAAAAGCACUUUGGAAAGAGAGUCAAACAGUACGUGAAAUUGUUGAAAGGGAAGCGCUUGCAACCAGACCUGCCCGUAGGCGAUCAGCCGCUGUUCUCAGCGGUGUACUCGCUCUGCGAUCAGGCCAGCAUCGGUUUCGGCGGUCGGAUAAAGACCUUGGGAAUGUAGCUUCCCUUCGGGGAAGUCUUAUAGCCCUCGGUGUAAUGCGGCCAGCCGGGACCGAGGACCGCGCUUCGGCUAGGAUGCUGGCGUAAUGGUUGUAAGCGACCCGUCUUGAAACACGGACCAAGGAGUCUAACAUCUAUGCGAGUGUUUGGGUGUCAAACCCAUACGCGGAAUGAAAGUGAACGGAGGUGAGAACCCUCAAGGGCGCAUCAUCGACCGAUCCAGAUGUCUUCGGAUGGAUUUGAGUAUGAGCAUAGCUGUUGGGACCCGAAAGAUGGUGAACUAUGCCUGAAUAGGGUGAAGCCAGAGGAAACUCUGGUGGAGGCUCGCAGCGGUUCUGACGUGCAAAUCGAUCGUCAAA
rnacentral:rRNA from 1 species